UAGACGCUUGUGGAAAUAGUAGACAAAACAAACCGUCAACAAUGACGAAACCCAUCUCUCAGCACCACGUGUAGUUUCAGCGGAAGAUUCAUAUAUUCCAUGAACGUUUAUUAAAGAUUUUAAAAUAUUUUAUUUUGUAAUAAUCUGUUAAAGAAUGAUUUAUAUUUGUAGUGUUCCUAACUACAGAGGUAAUUAUCCAAAUAUUGAAAAAGUCCACUUGUUUUCACUUGCAGAAAAGCAAUAUCUUUUUAUUUGUCUUCAUCUCAAAUCAAGUUCAAUGGGCAUAAAGUGGUUACAUGCCAUUCACCAGCAGAAUUUAACCCCAUCGAAACAUUCUAAGGUUUGUGGGAAGUCACACACUGAAAGAGCAAUCAAGGAUUUUGAUGACAAAAAAAAGAACUUCUUAAGAAAUUAAUUUGAUUCCUUCAAGGCUUCGAAAGGAUGCAGUGCAUUUACAACUGCUUGGCUGCCCAAAAUAUUUGUCAGAAACUACAGUAAAUGCAGUACAGUAGAAGUCCAAAAAUCCACCUAGCCUGGGACCAGAGGUUGUGCGGAUUUUAGGAUUUUGCGGAUUUCAAGGCAGAAAAGAUAAAUCAUAAUAUUCAGACUCAAAGUGCAAAAUA